UCAAUAAGCGGAGGAAAAGAAACUAACAAGGAUUCCCCUAGUAACUGCGAGUGAAGCGGGAAAAGCUCAAAUUUAAAAUCUGGCGGUCCUUGGCUGUCCGAGUUGUAAUUUAGAGAAGCGUCUUCCGCGCCGGACCGUGCACAAGUCUCCUGGAAUGGAGCGUCGUAGAGGGUGAGAAUCCCGUCUUUGGCACGGAUACCCGGUGCUUCUGUGAUGCGCUCUCGAAGAGUCGAGUUGUUUGGGAAUGCAGCUCAAAAUGGGUGGUGAACUCCAUCUAAAGCUAAAUAUUGGCGAGAGACCGAUAGCGAACAAGUACCGUGAGGGAAAGAUGAAAAGCACUUUGGAAAGAGAGUGAAACAGUACGUGAAAUUGUUGAAAGGGAAACGCUUGAAGUCAGUCGCGUCGACCGAGACUCAGCCUUGCCUUGGCUUGGUGUACUUCUCGGACUGACGGGUCAGCGUCGAUUUUGCUGCUCGGAUAAUGGCAAGGGAAAGGUGGCACCUUUGCGGGUGUGUUAUAGUCUCCUGUCGCAUGCGAGGGGCGAGAUCGAGGAACUCAGCGCGCGCCUCUGGCGUCGGGGCUUUGGCCCACGUAACGCGCUUAGGACGCUGGCGUAAUGGCUUUAAACGACCCGUCUUGAAACACGGA
rnacentral:rRNA from 1 species